UUAUGUACUAUUUGUCCUUUUAUUUCUAAUCUAACUGAACCGGGUGAGGCAAUGUCCUCCUCCAAAUAGAAUCUGUACCCAUUUACAGAUUUUCCUUACUCCCAAUGUUGCUUUCCAAUCACAAUCCCAUAUGCAAUCUUUCGUUUUUCUCCCUCUUCCUCUGCCGUCACUCUUCAUUCUUCACCUUUUCCCAGUCUAACUCUUUCUCUUUCUCUUCCAUCUUCAUUCUUUCCAAAUCUGAAAAUCAAUCCCUACUUCUCUUUUUAUUCAUCUUCAUCCACAAUAUCUUUAUCUUCAUCUUCAUAAUGGUUUAGAUAAAGCUAGGUGGAGUUAGGGUUUGUACUGAUGACGAAAAUGAAAGGUUUGUUAGGGUUAUGAUCAAGAUUUACGGGUUUGGUUGAAGGAAAUACACAGUUGGUUACUCAACCAUCAUGUAAGCUAUUCUUUCUUUUGAGUGUUCACAAAGCUUAUGGAUUUGCGCAUUCGAAGGCGGAAUAUGUAUCAAUUUUGCAGUUUCGCAAAGAGUUUUCUUUUCCAUAGGAUCUAAAGGAUGUUUGGUUGAAGGAAAUACACAGUUGGUUACUCAACCAUCAUGUAAGCUAUUCUUUCUUUUGAGUGUUCACAAAGCUUAUCGAUUUGCGCAUUCGAAGGCGGAAUAUGUAUCAGUUUUGCAGUUUCGCAAAGAGUUUUCUUUUCCAUAGGAUCUAAAAGAUGUUUGGUUGAAGGAAAUACACAGUUGGUUACUCAACCAUCAUGUAAGCUAUUCUUUCUUUUGAGUGUUCACAAAGCUUAUGGAUUUGCGCAUUCGAAGGCGGAAUAUGUAUCAGUUUUGCAGUUUCGCAAAGAGUUUUCUUUUCCAUAGGAUCUAAAGGAUUGUGUCAAUAAAGUCACUCCAACAUAGAGUUACUGUCAAUGGUGCAUAUCAUUUAAGUUGUUUGUGUGGAUUAGAACAUGAAGAUUUCAUAAGCAGGUAGAGGAUAAGGUAACAAGGUGGGUGAAAGAAUGAAAUGGGGGACCGCGCGCAUUAUCAAGAGGUGAUGGUGUAACUGAUGUCGGCAUGAAAAAAAGAUAAGUAUUAAUUUCACUAAAUAUGACUUUUUGCUGCAAUGAAAUCUUCUAAAAUUUCGGUUAGACUUGGUUUCGCGAACUCUUUUCAAUCACGACGGGAAAUCUCGGGGCUCUACGUCGUCCCAACCCCACAAGGGUCUUAAUUUUGAUUCUCUUUUGAUGUUUCAUUUUCAAUGAGAAUGAUUCACAUGACAACUGAAUCUCAAAUAUGCAGAACCACAUUAAUUCAUGUGUUAGAUAUAUCGAUAUCGUUUCUACCAUGUCCAUUUGUUGUUGCAUCUUCUGCGGAAUAAUUAUCUCUUUUUUGGUUUAUAUUUUCACAUUUUCUGACUGGUUCACAUCUUUAAACUUUUCCAAGUAGGUUUGAUUUGAACAAUGUUUACAUUUUCACUUUGUUAAAACUUCACACAAAUUUAUAGCUAAUGUGGUUCCUUUUUUUUUUCAUCUUAAGAUUUCUUUGGUUGCUACCGACUCAAAAACACCAUGAUUCCGUGAGCGAUGGAGACAUAUAUGCUGGUGUAUUAUUCUAUGGAAGUAUGAUAAUUUUGUUGAAUGAAUUUGCUGAAAGAAUAUUUCACUUGCUGUAUCUAAAGAGGAAGCCAAAGAAGUUGGAACAUCAAAGAUAAAUGGAAUCCAACAAAGCAGCAGUGAUGCGGCAGUUAUGGUGGAUUCGUCUUAAUAAGAAGAAGAAGGAGCUCCAUUAAUCAAAUAGAAAUGGGACACCGGAUAGAAGAAGACUUCUCAUUUGCAGGUAGAUAUGGUGGAGUUAUCUGAUAAGAUGGAUGUUCCACCAGAAGAGAUUAAGGAGGAAAAACAAAGAUUGUUUGAGGGCAAGGCAGUAGAUGUAACUGAAACAUGUGAUGAUAUCUGUAAUACUUCAAGUUCUCAACACUCUUCGCAAUUUCUUCAGAAGCAGCUCAGUAUGCAACAACAACCUGCAACAGCAAAUUGAAAUAAAGCUUAAUCCACCAAUACCGCUUCUACCAUAAUAUUUGCUAUCAAUGGCCCUGUUUUCUCACAAAGUCACACUCAAUACAAAUGUUCUAACCAAACUUCUCACUCUAAUAUUUGAAGACAUUUCCUCAUAAUUUCACGUGUGUGUAAUGAAAGUUGUCCGAAGAGCUGUGCUAGAUGGAUUGUUGGAAAUAACAUUUCAGAAUUUGUUACUGAAAAUAAAUGCAAGAACCAAAAGCUUUACUCUUUAAUAUGAACUUCUGAAAGUUGCAUGUUAGACUGUCAAACGGUAAUGUUAAAUGUUUUGCAGUUUUUGAAUACUUGAAAUAAUCAAACAGUUCAAAAUAAUGUUAUUUGUGUGGACAUUUAAAUAAUGUAGUUGAAGAAGAGGAGGUUGGUGACAUGCCA